rnacentral:lncRNA from 12 species
GGAACCUUUAAACAUGAUAAGCCUAAGCAAAAUGCUUUAUUAUUUUUGUAUUUAUAUCUAGAACCAAUAAAAUUGGCAAGAACAAAUUCCUUCCUCCUUCAAAUGUACAAGGAGAUAUGCUAGUACCUAGGGUGGGUACACAGAAGACACAAUUGCUGCUUGGAAAGAUAUCAACCAAAGAGACAGAGUGACAUCAUCUCCUCAUCCUCCCCUUAUGAUGAACAGUGUCCUCAAACAAGCCAAGAAGUAAUAUAACUUUAUAUUUACAAGA